UCUCUCUUGAUCUCUUUCCCUUUCGCGUCUUUCUUCCUCUGCUUUCACCCAAAACUUCAAGCUUCCUCUCCUCUCACCCAAAACUUCGAGCUUCCUCUCUUCAAGUUUCUUUUUUCUUCUUGAAUAUUAGGCACAUGGAUCAAAAUGUUUCAGAUUCAUCUUCAGAUGCUGCAAAUGAGGAAUUUUGGGAUCUUGCCAAUUCAUCAUCAGACGAAGAAUUGAUGAAUCUGCAAAUUACUGCUCUACAAGAGAUGGGAAGAAGAAGACGCCGGCAAGAGAUGCGAAUUCAAUUAUGGAUAUUACGGUUUUAGUAAGCAGCUAUUAUCCACUAAUAUUGGAUAUUACAGUUUUACAUAAGAUUUUCAAUUUGUUGAUAUUUUUGGAUGAAUUGGGGAUUAGGUUGAAAAGGUUGAUGAAAGUGUCAAGGUUACAGUUAUUGAGGAAGACGACGAGUACUGGUUUCUUCCUCCCUCCAAAGUUACUAACAAGUUGGGUGAUGAUUCCAUCUUAAAGGCCUUAAGGCCUGUAACAGCCAUGCCAUUACAUAUGUUCCACAUUAUGACACCCUUGGAGCUAAGGAUGAAGCCGUGUUAUGUAGUUUUUGUGGGUCUCUCAGCUGGUACUAAAUCUUGUAUGUACAAAGUUUUUCAAGCUGUAAGUGUUUUGCUCAGUUCGAUGGUUUUUGCUCAGCAGUAAACAUGCAGAGUAGACAAUCAAUUUAUUAUCUGCAAUGCCUACAAGGUUUGUGCAUUUUGCCCCGUUUCAUAACUCUCUAUGGAUACAUCUACUAUGAAUCCUGAGCAGAGGGCAUGUUAUUCCAAACUUCAGAUGAAAAUUCUCCAAUGUGAUAUAUGAAGUGUGAGGUUGUUGGUUUGUUGGUUUCCAUUUUAGUUUGUAUCAGUUUGAGGUUUUGUCCAGUGAUCAUGUAUUUGACUGCUUGCAAACCCUUUAAGAAUGACUAUGUUUCCUGCUAUUUGACUGCUAGAACUGUGCAGUUUCUGUUUUUGUUUUCAAUCCAUUUCAGUUUGUAUCAGUUGGUUGGUUUCCAUGUAAGAUUCAGUGGACUUGUCAAUGUUAGCUGAAGUACACCAGCUCACAAGUUCAAACUAUUGUCUUCAACAAUGGCUGCAGCUCCAGGUAAAUUUAUGUAUUCUUAUAUUGAGCACAAUGAUCAUAUAUAUGCAUAUGUUAAGGUUUAAAACUUAUAUUUGGUAUCAGAGCCUUUGUGCUCAAGUAAGAAUCAACUUUUGCAAAAACUUUUUGACACAAAAUUUACA